GACGAACGCUGGCGGCGUGCCUAAUACAUGCAAGUAGAACGCUGAAGGAGGAGCUUGCUCUUCUGGAUGAGUUGCGAACGGGUGAGUAACGCGUAGGUAACCUGCCUGGUAGCGGGGGAUAACUAUUGGAAACGAUAGCUAAUACCGCAUAACAGUAGAUGUUGCAUGACAUUUGCUUAAAAGGUGCAAUUGCACCACUACCAGAUGGACCUGCGUUGUAUUAGCUAGUUGGUGGGGUAACGGCUCACCAAGGCGACGAUACAUAGCCGACCUGAGAGGGUGAUCAGCCAACCUGGGACGGUGACACGGCCCAGACUCCUACGGGAGGCAGCAGUAGGGAAUCUUCAGCAAUGGACGGAAGUCUGACCGAGAAACGCCGCGUGAGUGAAGAGGGUUUUCGGAUCGUAAAGCUCUGUUGUAAGAGAAGAACGAGUGUGAGAGUGGAAAGUUCACACUGUGACGGUAUCUUACCAGAAAGGGACGGCUAACUACGUG
rnacentral:rRNA from 1 species